rnacentral:rRNA from 1 species
GACGAACGCUGGCGGCGUGCCUAAUACAUGCAAGUAGAACGCACAGUUUAUACCGUAGCUUGCUACACCAUAGACUGUGAGUUGCGAACGGGUGAGUAACGCGUAGGUAACCUGCCUGGUAGCGGGGGAUAACUAUUGGAAACGAUAGCUAAUACCGCAUAAUAUUAAUUAUUGCAUGAUAAUUAAUUGAAAGUUGCAAUUGCACCACUACCAGAUGGACCUGCGUUGUAUUAGCUAGUAGGUGAGGUAACGGCGCACCUAGGCGACGAUACAUAGCCGACCUGAGAGGGUGAUCGGCCACACUGGGACUGAGACACGGCCCAGACUCCUACGGGAGGCAGCAGGAGGGAAUCGUCGGCAAUGGACGAAAGUCUGACCGAGCAACGCCGCGGGAGUGAAGAAGGUUGUCGGGUCGUAAAGCUCUGUUGUAAGAGAAGAACGGGUGUGAGAGUGGAAAGUUCACACUGUGACGGUAUCUUACCAGAAAGGGACGGCUAACUACGUG